rnacentral:lncRNA from 1 species
AGCUCUUCUACUGCAGCGGCAUGGUCCUGGUUCCAUUUUUGUUGUUCUUCCAGGAGUCUUCCAUGUUCUGCUUGCGUGUUCUGGAUGUCGAGGAGGGUGUUGUCGGUAUGAGUGAAGAAAGCACCGGCCUCUUGAUAGUAGUCAUUCGUGAAGGCGUAGGAGGCGUCGGAGUAUCGUCCUGCAUCAAAUUGGGGUGGAGGUCUGGAUCCUGAAGCUCCAUAUGGAUCAGUGGAGUACCUGCCCGUAUGAAAAGGCGGGUUUGUCCACUGGUGAUCUUGGCUCUCCGGCCAUGUCUCCUCUGUUGG